UACAGGGGGGGCAAGCGUUGUUCGGAAUUACUGGGCGUAAAGGGUCUGUAGGUGGCCAACUAAGUCAGACGUGAAAUCCCUCAGCUUAACUGGGGAACUGCGUCUGAUACUGGAUGGCUCGAGUGUGGGAGAGGUGAGUGGAACUCCGAGUGUAGAGGUGAAAUUCGUAGAUAUUGGGAAGAACACCGGUGGCGAAGGCGGCUCACUGGCUCGUAACUGACGCUCAUGCACGACAGCGUGGGGAUCAAACAGG
rnacentral:rRNA from 1 species